rnacentral:rRNA from 1 species
CACGUAGGCACCAAGCGUUGUCCGGAUUUAUUGGGCGUAAAGAGCUCGUAGGCGGUUCAGUAAGUCGGGUGUGAAAACUUUGGGCUUAACCCAAAGCGUGCAUCCGAUACUGCUGUGACUUGAGUUUGGUAGGGGAGUGGGGAAUUCCUAGUGUAGCGGUGAAAUGCGCAGAUAUUAGGAGGAACACCGGUGGCGAAGGCGCCACUCUGGGCCGAAACUGACGCUGAGGAGCGAAAGCAUGGGUAGCAAACAGGG